CCUACGGGAGGCAGCAGUGGGGAAUAUUGGGCAAUGGGCACAAGCCUGACCCAGCAACGCCGCGUGAAGGAAGAAGGCUUUCGGGUUGUAAACUUCUUUUCUCAGGGACGAAGAAAGUGACGGUACCUGAGGAAUAAGCCACGGCUAACUACGUGCCAGCAGCCGCGGUAAUACGUAGGUGGCAAGCGUUAUCCGGAUUUAGUGGGUGUAAAGGGCGUGUAGGCGGGAGCGCAAGUCAGAUGUGAAAACUCAGGGCUCAACCCUGAGCCUGCAUUUGAAACUGUGUUUCUUGAGUGCUGGGGAGGCAAUCGGAAUUCCGUGUGUAGCGGUGAAAUGCGUAGAUAUACGGAGGAACACCAGUGGCGAAGGCGGAUUGCUGGACAGUAACUGACGCUGAGGCGCGAAAGCGUGGGGAGCAAACAGGAUUAGAUACCCUAGUAGUC
rnacentral:rRNA from 1 species